rnacentral:rRNA from 1 species
UACGGGGGGGGCAAGCGUUGUUCGGAAUUACUGGGCGUAAAGGGCUCGUAGGCGGCCAAUUAAGUCAGACGUGAAAUCCCUCGGCUUAACCGGGGAACUGCAUCUGAUACUGGAUGGCUUGAGUUCGGGAGAGGGAUGCGGAAUUCCAGGUGUAGCGGUGAAAUGCGUAGAUAUCUGGAGGAACACCGGUGGCGAAGGCGGCAUCCUGGACCGACACUGACGCUGAGGAGCGAAAGCCAGGGGAGCAAACGGG